ACGGAGAGAGACCUUACGUGUGUGUGUGUGUGUGUGUGUGUGUGUGUGUGUAUGCUCUAUGAUGGCAUGGCAUCCUCUUCAGGGUUGAUUCCCACCUUGUGCUGAGCUGCCUGGACAGGAUAAGGCCACCUGAGACCCUAAGCUACAAUAAAUAGGUAAAUUAGUAUUUCUAUUAAUCAUUCUGAAACAUAUGUAUAGCUCAUAUUUAUUUUAAUAUUUAAUAUUAGAAGUGAUUUGAAUCUUUAUGUAAAAAUUUAGUGAUGUACUUGUGAGGAGAAAUAUGCCAUAGGAAUUGUUUUCUUGUUUAUAUCAAUUAAUCUUUGGUAAAAUUGGUUUUCUUAUACGUUGUUUCACUUAGGACGGCAGUUUCCAUGAAUCUACCAACCAUAAUAAAUGAGGUAUCACUAUACUUAGCUGGUAACAUCUGAGCUUUGAUCCUAUUUACUUUGUAUCUUUUAAUUGAAAAAUAUAUAACUCUGGCAACAAUAACAAAAACAGGCUAAAAUAGAAUUACAUGCCAAAUAAUAAUUUCGACUACUUAGUAUCUUGUUUUAAUGAUCGGUUCUCAGAGAUGGGACAUGCCUUGAGAGCAUAUGAUUUCUAUUGAAGUUAUAUCCACUUUAUUCCAACGGUCCCCAACAAAGGGUGAACUUACUUUCCAAGUGGAGACAGUCUCAAUGUCUACUGACACUUGCGAUGAUCAGAAGUGGCUGGCUACUGCUACAUGUAGUAGGGAGAAACUAGGGUUGCUGCUAAGAGUUCUGCAAUAUAUAGGAUGAUCUUAAAUGUCAAUAGUGCAAAGACUGACAAACUCUGCUGUUCAAACUACUCCCUUAUUUUGAGCUGGAUUCGCAAAGCCUCAAUAAUUAGACAAGUCUGAUUCAGAGUCAUGACAUGAUUUCCAAGCUAAACCACUAUAUCCACCUAUAUGAAGGGUUGUUCACUGGGAAAGUAAGCCAAUAGCAUUUCUCUGGGCACAAAAACUGUCAUUUUGAUGCAUGAAUGUACAUAUUUUUUCCAUUAGCAUUCAAUUCAGCAUUAGCAUUGUGAGAUCUUGUACCAACUUAGCAAAACACAAAGUUUAAACAAGUUUUUCAUUGAUUUUAACUUGAAUAAUUUAAUUUUUAGUUUCUAUGGCAUUUGAAACCAAAUAUAAAAUUAUAAUAAAAGAAGAAAAUAGUAUCCAUUAAAUUUUUUCUGUCUCUUACUUCUGAUUUACUCUAUUAAUGAACAUAAAAACAGUAGCCAUCUGGACUGAGAAAGGAAAUAAUAACAUUUCUUAUUUCUAAAAGAAUUUGGCAAUAACCAGGAGCACAAGGAAAUAAAAUUCAUCAGAUUUUUCCUUCUAUUGCUUCAGCCUAGGGACACAGUGACAGGCUGACAAGUCUGAGAUAUGAAUAUAAACUUUGAUUGUGAUUUAAUUAAAAAAAAUUUACUUUUUACUGCAGUUCAUUAAUAUUUUUAAUUUGUGCACUGCCAAAAGCAUAAUGCUCUCUUUCAGUCAAAAACAAAUUAAACCUGUAGGGAAGAAAAAAUACUACCCCACGAGUAAAGUUUCCUUCCUCAGCUUGUCAAGAAAGGCAUUCCAAACUCAUAGAAUGGUAGAAAGCAGAUCUCUGCUCCGUAACACAUCUAUUCAAUGAUGCACUGCCAUUCUUCAAUGUACAUGUAAUCUUCGGAUACUACAAUGGAUCAUAAUACAAAUUAGGCUGACACAAGCUCUUUUAGUUUAUCCAUUUGUCCCAGAAUAAUGCAGAUUUUCUUGAUUCAUCUGAGCACUUAAAACCCAAUUAUAUGCCAAAACUACCUAAGAAAUGCCUUCAUAGUAGUUUAUUAUCUAGAAUAGCUCUCAAAGAGAGACUUUAUUAUUUUAUGGUAUUUGUUUUUAAUAGAAAGUUAUGUGAUUGCUAUAGUGACUGAAAUAACUGAAAAGAUAAGACCUACUAUAUGUAUUAUUUUAUAAGAAAUACAAAAUAUAUUGAUGAAAAAAACGCAUUUGCUUAAUUAGCUACUAAUCUUGUCCAAUUUAACUUGCUGUAAUCCCUGAUAAACAACCCUAAUAUUCAGCACUCCUCAAGUCAUGCACAAACUUUUAAACAAAAUAAUGGUAAAUGGGUAAGAUUAUUCUGCUUGGUAAAUGGCCUGUUGCACUGAUAUCCACCUUUGGUUUUUGUUUAGAAAUGAAAGAAUGAUAGCCUUGCAGCUUAUUUCUGCCAGAAAAGUUCAGAUAGAAAGUGUAUAUUAAUAAGAAUUUUUGUCUCUGUUUGCCUAAGAACAAGCUUAAAGACACAAAUUCUUCCUGUAUGUUGUUGAAACAAGACAGAAUCACAGAACAAGAUAAUUAGAGUGGGGAAAGAGAAUCGUAUUUCUAAUGAGUUAGGAAUGAUUAGGUAAGAUGCAUUUAGAAUGUCACUUGACCUCUAGAUCUCUAGACUCUAUGCUAUGCAUUAUGGAGGACAGCAUAAAACGUGACCCAUAAUUCUGUCCUUGAUUAAUUACAACACAUGGAGAAGAAAAGAAUUAUAAACAUUUAGAAAAAAAUUGAACAACAGUCAGAUUAUGCCAAGUACAAACUAUAGGGUUUAAACCAUAAAUUAAUACUAUCCAAGGCUAUGAGAUUUAUUUUCAACAUUUUGAGGCAUUAUGCAAAAACGAAAAUUGAGUUGGUGCUUGAAAAGAUGGGUGGAUUUAGAAAAAUAAAUGCAGAGCUUCAUAAAUCACCAUUUCAAGAGAUGAGGAUAUUAUCUAAACUAUUCCAUUCAUGCUCUUUUAUUCACAGGGACAGUGGGAGACAAGAGAACAGAAUAUUGGUAGAACUAAUCUUCAGCAUGAUGCUGGCAGAUCUCAAUAAAAUUAUGGCCACUUGUCUCCAAUUUUAUAAUUCAGGACUUUGGAGAGGCUUAUUUUAUAGGCUUCCUCAUUAAUCAUGGGAUUUUUUUCUCCAAACUUGUGUCUCUACAGUGUAAGUGCUGAGAUGCUCUCAAAAGAACUUCCAGGAAGAUGAGAAAUCUCAGACCCAGAGAUUGCAAAUUGUCAGCAGUCACAGAAGUCACAAUUAGAACUGGCCUACAACUGAAUCUCAAGGAGCAUAAAAAGGUUAUUGGAGAAAAAUAUCAUUUCCAGAGCUAUAUAUGUUCAAAC